UGCAGUGUAUUGUACGCUAUGUAGAAAUUCUAUUAAACAAUGACAAUGUUUUUUUAUUAUUGUAGAGCACUGGUAAAUAUGAAGAACUACGAAUAAAUAAAUCGUAUUACUGAAUGAAUUUUAAAACUGAUGAGAAAAUUGGAAUACCUAGUGUAAAGGAAAAUAGAGCUUCAAAUGGAAUGGAACUAUAGAAACAUAUUUUGAGAAGGUAUAGGAAUUUAAGAAAGAGUUGGGAGCUUAAAUGUGUAAAAUUGUUUGUGGUGCUGUGUCUGAUGUCUGGCUGGUGUCUCCGGCUCUCUCUCAUUCGCCCUGUGACAGGGCUGUCUGGUAGCCACAACCGCAACAUUUUGCUGGUUUCAAAUUCAAUGCGCACUGGCCCGGCCGCAGUCACAGGCAGAGACACAGCCAUACCCAUGCCACCCAUAACACCCAGUUAAGUCUAAUCUUCUGCCCAGCAGUGUGUCAGCGUGGGUUAGCAUUUGUGUCCGCUUGCAGUAUAAAUUCGAACUGCUGCUGACUGUAUUCAGUUGUAGCUGUCACAAGUUAAUAAAAAGGCAGACAUCGAAAUGGAUGAGACACGGCACAAAAAAACACAUCCAAAUGAAUAGAAUGGAGGCCCAAACAAUGGCACAUAAUAGCGCUAGCCACAUCUGCCCAGCGUCAGGCACACAGGUUAGCUGCGUAUAUCUGCUGCAUACGCUGCAUAAUGCCACAUGCGACGUCAUCAUCAACUUUGACCUUGCCCCAGCCCAGUUGGCUACACAUAAAAUGGAAGCUGUAGUUGCUGUAUGGCUUCUGUAGAUAUUAAUUCGGGUAUGUGAAUUAAAUUGUGAAGAAUAAUACCUAUAGCUACACAUCACUGAAAGGCACGAAUCUCUCACUAGAUAUGGAUAAUACAAUAUUUCAAUGUGUUUAUUAAGCUA